GGGACAGUAGGUUGGUCGUGCCACCGGUACGUACUGGUCUCACUGAUUCCUCCUUCCUGAAGAACCGUAAUGCCAUUAAUUAGGUGUUGCGGGGAAACAGGACUGUUACUUUGAAAAAAUUAGAGUGUUUAAAGCAUGCUAACGCUUGAAUACAUUAGCAUGGAAUAAUGAAAUAGGACGAUCGAUCCUAUUUUGUUGGUUUCUAGGAUUGACGUA
rnacentral:rRNA from 1 species